CGUAGUUAUAAAUAAAACAGAUUUUAUGUAUUGUAGAAAUAAAACUUUACCGAUGGAAUUAUACAAUGUUACUUAAAAGUUGUGUUACCAAUAACUUGCAAAGAAGAUUCCAGCCAAUUCUAUUUGUAUAUGGUACACUGUUCAAGCAGUUUGCUCCUACUUAUCGAAUUUUAAAUAGAUCGAAUGUUAUUCUAUCGUAUAAGAUACUCAGCGAAGGUGUUACCGAGACAGAUGAACCGCCAAUUUUCCUCUUUCAUGGUUUGUUAAGCAAUAAGAAGCAAUGGGAGGGCAUGGGGAAAAUAAUAUUGAAUCUAACAAAAAGAUCAGUAGUUGUUGUGGACUUACGGAAUCAUGGCAACAGUCCUCAUAUGAACAGUCACAGAUAUGAAGAUCUCGCGGCGGAUAUACUGACUCUGUUUGAGAAGCUAGGAGUUGAACAAGCGAGUCUCAUCGGACACAGCAUGGGAGGGAAAGCUGCAUUGUGUUUGGCUUUAACUGCGCCGCUUAAAAUAACAGGUGUGUUAGUAGUGGACAUAUCUCCCGCUUCAAUCACACAAAGCUACAAUGAAGAAUACCCCAAAAUACUAAAUGCUAUGAAAGCGGUUGACUUUAAGAUGCCAAAAAAAGUGAAUCACGCCAAAAGGGAAGCUAAGAAACAACUGAAAGAUAUGAUUACAGACGAUUACCUCCUCAAUACGAUUCUAGAUAAUAUAAAAAUUCGUACGGAUUCGACAAUCGGUUGGGCAGUUAAUAUCGAUGUUCUGUUAAAGCACAUUAAUGCUAUUGCAAGUUUCCCAAGACAACUGAGAAGAAAGCGAUAUUUUGGGCCCACGCUAUUUAUCGGCGGCCAGUUGUCUGAAUUUAUUCCGCCGGACGAUUUACCAGUUAUUCGGGACAUGUUUCCAAAAGCUGUUAUAACCUACAUCCCGAAAACAGGACACAAUGUUCACAUUGACGAUCCAAGAUCGUUUUUAGAAAUUGCGAUCGCUUUUAUCAGGACUCACCAUUAUAAACGUCUAUGGGUUUAGACACAACUCAAAUUUGGCAAAGAUUGGCAAAACCGACCAAAACUUUUGACACUCAAAAUUUAUAACAAAAUCAGGAUUGAAAUCUGGGAACACAAACAAACAUGGAAUGGAUAUCCUAAGCAAAAUCAGUAAAGUGAGACUUCUACAAUACACUGGCUUAAAAACUGUGGGUGCUAAGCAAAUCCGAACUAAAUCAACGCAGCCACUCGAAUUAUCGUACAGAAUUCACGGUCCUAGUCCCAGACCCGGGAGCGUACCGAUCUUCGUGCUUCAUGACUGCCUUGCAAGCAAAAAGAAUUGGGAAACAUUUUGUCAUAAGCUCACCGUUCCUACGAACAUGACGGUGAUCGCUGCGGACGCUCGAAACCAUGGCGACAGUCCACAUCACAGCUCCCAUGGAUACUACGACCAAGCUGCAGAUGUCUCUCAUUUAUUAACUAAAUUUUCUGUAGAAAAAGGUAUUUUUAUUGGCCACGGCAUGGGAGGCAGAACGGCCAUGGUAUUGGCUCUGACUGAGCCAACUAAAGUAGCAAGUAUGGUCGUAGUAGAUAUAUCGCCUGUAUCAACUUCAUGCGGUCUAGCAGACUUCUAUCCUAAGACUAUCGAUGCUCUCUCGACUAUGGACUUCAAAGGAAUGAAUAUAAAUACAGCUGAACAGACCGCUAAAAAUAAAAUGAUUGAAAAUAAUUUAUUCCAAACUGAGAAAGAAUUGGACUACAUGCUAAUGAAUGUUGGCAAAUUGAAAAAUAGAACAUAUGGCUGGAAAUACAAUCUCGGUGCUUUGAGAAAAAAUGUGGAUAAUAUAGUCUCUUUUCCAAAAUUGAAUAAAAAACAGUAUCCUGGCCCUGUGCUGUUCCUGGGAGGCAAACUAUCAUUCGCAAUCCCAUUCGAGGACAUGCCUGGGAUCUUAAAAAUAUUUCCUAGAGCACAAAUACUGUACAUCGAUGGGGCUGGACACAACGCGCAUGUGGAUCAACCACAAACCUUCUAUGACACAGUCAUGCAGUUCUUACAUUACAACUCAUUGAUGCAAACUGCAUAGCCAGACUGUUCACUAUGUCUGUUAUUUUAGUGGAUGAGAAGUAUCUAUAUCAUUUAAAAAAGUCGUAAAACUCAAAUGAUGACUAAGUAACUUCUACUAUGAUAAAUGAAAUAACAAAUAAGUAUUGCUGAAAAGUAAAAAAU